rnacentral:lncRNA from 1 species
CAGGAAAGGCAGGGACUGAACCUACAGCAGAGUGAGUUUCUUUUUUUUUUUUUUUGAGACUGUUGCCCAGGCUAGAGUGCAAUGGUGUGAUUUCUGCUCACUGCAACCUCCAGCCUCCCGGACUCAAGAAAUUCUCCUAUCUCAGCCUCCUGAGUAGCUGGAUUACAGGCGCCCGCCACCACGCCCAGCUAAUUUUUUUGUAUUUUUAGUAGAGACAAAGUUUCGCCGUGUUAGCCAGAAUGGUUUCA